AAGUGCGCUCGCUCGCCGGGCUGAGUGCCUCCUGCGUAGUCGCCGACACCAGUGGCGGGGGGCUUCGCCGCCGAACGCCCGCGCCGAACUAAGCAGAGGUUCUGAGGAACGAAACGUGCCGCGGGUGUAGCCUUUAGAGCUCUCAGGGAUCUCGCAUCGAUGGGGCUGGGAAACAGCAAGAAAGCUGAUGAAAACCGCUCGGGCUUCCACCCCGAUGACAGUACUGAACUGUCGCAAAAUUUCGAUGAGUGCGACAUUCACGAUUGUCUGGCCAGAAGAAAAUGAGAAGGACUAUGACACACUUCAAGACGUCGCGGUAAGUUAACACUGUCUCUUGGUCGGAAACUCAAGAUGUUU